ACCAUGUAAAGACACAGGGAGAAGAUGGCCAUGUACAAGCCAAGGAGAGAGCCCUCAGGAGAAAUCAACACUGCAGACUCCUUGAUCUUGAACUUCUAGCCUCAAGAAUUGAUGCCACCACUCAGAAGUAAAAUCUCGAUUUUCCCAGCAUCCUGAAGACUGCACAUAAAACAACUCCAUGACAGCCUUGAAAACCAGCAGCCUCACAUCCAUG